GACGAACGCUGGCGGCGUGCUUAACACAUGCAAGUCGAACGGGAUCCAUGGAGUGGUAACACUCCGGAAGAUCUAGUGGCGAACGGGUGAGGAACACGUGAAGAACCUGCCCCGGACUCUGGGAUAACAGUUGGAAACGACUGCUAAUACCGGAUGUCGUUGCUGGAGUCGCAUGGCUCUGCAACGAAAGUUUUUCGGUCCGGGAGGGCUUCGCGGCCUAUCAGCUUGUUGGUGAGGUAACGGCUCACCAAGGCGUCGACGGGUAGCUGGUCUGAGAGGAUGAUCAGCCACACUGGGACUGAGACGCGGCCCAGACUCCUACGGGAGGCAGCAGUGGGGAAUCUUGCGCAAUGGGCGAAAGCCUGACGCAGCAACGCCGCGUGCGGGAAGAAGGCUUUAGGGUUGUAAACCGCUUUCAGCAGGGAAGAAAAUGACGGUACCUGCAGAAGAAGGUGCGGCCAACUACGUGCCAGCCGCCGCUGUAA
rnacentral:rRNA from 1 species